UCGAGAAUUUUUCACAAUGGGCGCAAGCCUGAUGGAGCGACGCCGCGUGGGGGAUGAAUGGCUUCGGCCCGUAAACCCCUGUCAUUUGCGAUCAAUGCUCACGUCCCAAUACGACGUGAGUUGAUAGUAGCGAAAGAGGAAGGGACGGCUAACUCUGUGCCAGCAGCCGCGGUAAUACAGAGGUCCCAAGCGUUGUUCGGAUUUACUGGGCGUAAAGGGUGCGUAGGCGGUGGGUUAAGUCUGACGUGAAAUCUUCAAGCUCAACUUGGAAACUGCGUCGGAUACUAGCUUGCUUGAGGAAUGGAGGGGAGACUGGAAUACUUGGUGUAGCAGUGAAAUGCGUAGAUAUCAAGUGGAACACCAGUGGCGAAGGCGAGUCUCUGGACAUUUCCUGACGCUGAGGCACGAAAGCCAGGGGAGCAAACG
rnacentral:rRNA from 1 species